CUUAUACCUCAGAAAGGUGAUAUCUUACACUUUAUUUGCAUUUCUCAAGUACAGAUCCCUCCUUCAGCACAGAGCAGAACAACAGGUCAGCUGCCUGUGCUGCCUCGGCACGCUGCUCAGCUGCGCCAGGGCUGCAGCACGGCACAUGCGGCUGAAAGCUGAAUUCCCUGAAAGCUGAAUUCCCUGAAAGCAGGGGAGAGUAAUGAAGACUAAGAGGAGCCUCAAGAAUUCUUAAGUAUUAAGGUUGGGGACUCCGGUCGCCUGUUCUCCGUAACCAACUGACCAAGGCUUUUGCCCCAUGGGACAGAGGAGACAACCAACGCGAGGCCUGUCCCUGGGUCAGGAAGGAGUAGAUCGUCCCGGUUUCCUCUCUGCUGAAUCGACAGCUGAAAUCCUACUCUAAGGGAAGGUUGACAGAAGGCGUGGAUUCCCACACCCGUUUUCCAGCUAUUUACAGCAUCAGAAGCUCUUCACCGCCACGACUGCCUUUUGCCCUGUGUUUGUGAAGACUCCCUUGCGACAGCGCCCUUCUGACAGGCUGAGAGAGUUGGGGUUGUUCAGCCUGGAGAAGAAAAGGCU